AUGAUGGUAUAGUGAGCAUAUGGGAUCCGGUGGAUCGAGCUGGAAACAGCUCUUUCCUGCGGAGAACUAUGGCAAACUAGGCUAUUUAGAGGAAGUAAAAGUCGUAACAAGGUUUCCGUAGGUGAACCUGCGGAAGGAUCAUUAAAUAAUCUGAUAAUCAAAAAUUAUCUUAUUUACUGUGAACUGUUUUUAUUUAUGACGUAUAAGGGGAUGUCUUUAGGCUAUAAGGGUAGGCCUAUGGAAUGCUAACCUAGUCAUAGUCAAGCUUGAUGCUUGGUACCCGAUUAUUACUUACCAAAAGAAUUCAGUUUAAAAUAUUGUAACAUAGACCUAAAAAAUCUAUAAAACAACUUUUAACAAUGGAUCUCUUGGUUCUCGCAUCGAUGAAGAACGUAGCAAAGUGGAUAACUAGUGUGAAUUGCAUAUUCAGUGAAUCAUCGAGUCUUUGAACGCAUCUUGCACUCAAUGGUAUUCCAUUGAGUACGCCUGUUUCAGUAUCAAAAACAACCCUUAUUCAAAAAUUUUUUUUGAGUAGAUAUGAGUGUAGCAACCUUACAAGUUGAGACAUUUUAAAUAAAGUCAGGCCAUAUCGUGGAUUGAGUGCCGAUACUUUUUUAAUUUUGAAAAGGUAAAGCAUGUUGAUGUCCGCUUUUUGGGCCUCCCAAAUAACUUUUUAAACUUGAUCUGAAAUCAGGUGGGAUUACCCGCUGAACUUAAGCAUAUCAAUAAGCGGAGGAAAAGAAAAUAACAAUGAUUUCCCCAGUAACGGCGAGUGAAGAGGAAAGAGCUCAAAGUUGGAACCUGUUUGGCUUAGCUAAACCGGAUUGUAAACUGUAGAAACGUUUUCCUGGCACGCCAGAUAAAUAAGUCCUUUGGAACAGGGCAUCAUAGAGGGUGAGAAUCCC
rnacentral:rRNA from 1 species